GGGGAGCCAUCCGCUUCUCUUCUGUCUUUGACAACCAGUACUUUUAGAAUGAGCGAGUGCUUUGCAUUACAAAGAUCCGGUCCAACAGGCCUGCAGUCUGCACAGCCGGUAAAUGUGAAGAUGAAGUACAGUGAAGAUAAAAAAUCUAACCUGACCUAACCUUACCUAGGUACUAACCAAAAACUUUCAACCUGCCAACCUACAAUCUACAAACUUACAACCUAUUCACCGAAAACCUACAAUUUCAAGCCUACAAUCUACCAACCUACAACUUAAAACCUACUGACUCACGUCUCACUGUACUUCAUCUUGAUCUACACAUAUAAUAUUGCACAGCCUACACAGGCCUCAAACUUCUGUGUGCACUAUGGUGUCAGGCAAUUGUGUCCCACCGACCAGCUGUGGUGACGCCAGUCGCCAACAGCUACAGCGCUUUUCCAGGAGGCUUCAGUUAUUCUGUGACUGGUGACCAAGGCACGACACAUCACCCAGCAACUCACAAUCUCGCUGGCGGAGAGUGUUGCUGAGCAGCUGACCAACUGCGGCUGCUGGAGCGUUUCUCAGUCGUCGACCUCCGUAGACUGUCAAGCCUCCCUGGCCUUCUGCGACUCAAGAAGGAGGGAUUUUUAUCUGUGUUUACCAUACAAGAGACAUUUUAAUCUGACGAUUCGAUCGGAUCUGGAUCAUGAAUCCCGAGGCGGUGUGACAGAUGGUCGAGGCCGGCGCGCCACGCCAGACGCCUUCUCGCGCGGGGCGUGCUCAGGUCAGUCAGGUUGCGCUGCCGGACUCUGCUCCGAGGAGAGAAGCACAUAAGCGCAGUCAGGACGCGAGUGUGGUUGCACCGCCCCGGUCCCAGCAACCGCAUGGCGGUGGGGACUCACAGCCCGGCUGAUGGUUCCAGAUCGUCUCAGCGCAGCUUCUUCUCCGGACCCCGGCGCGGCAGCGAGGCUGGUGGUUCGGAGCCGACUGAUGGAGGACAGCAAAAGAACAGCAGGACAGGACAGCACCCUAACAGUAGCCCUCGGUCAUGUGGCGAGAGCUGGGCCCCGGACCGGUCGAAAGGGUGCUCACUGCUCAGCUGAGUGGGUAAUGUCCGCGUCUCGUUAGUGUCCCCGGCCAGGUCCUGAAGGGUAGAUGAGGGCGGGAUAUUCUCCUUUAUAGACGCAGAGCAAUGCCAGAAGAAUGGUUUUGCGAUCGAGUUGCAUGCGCUGUCCCUGCCUGUCGCUCCUGCUGCCGCCGCGCCGGCGGGGUUGGCGCUAAUGGCCAUUGACGGGGCUGCUGUGUUUGUAAAUUAGGUUGGAUGGACCCCUGCUCUCAGAGUUUUGUGUUGGUCGCUGGUAACCCAUGUUUUGUGGCCAGCGUGUUACGAACCCACGUAGUGGUUUGACCCCGUGGGGUGCUGUGAGACAGCGCGGAGCGACGCGUGGAUGCUGCUGAAACACGCUGAUGUUUGUGUGUACCUAUCGUCAUUUUGAAGUGCUGCUUGAGUUUGCUCGUUUGUUCUGUCUUACUGUUUUGUGUUUUCUACCAAGAUAAUGUCGAUAAGAUUGUUCAAUAAAGUUUGAGUUGA